rnacentral:rRNA from 1 species
UACGUAGGGUGCAAGCGUUGUCCGGAAUUAUUGGGCGUAAAGAGCUCGUAGGCGGUCUGUUGCGUCGGCUGUGAAAACCCGAGGCUCAACCUCGGGCCUGCAGCCGAUACGGGCAGACUAGAGUUCGGCAGGGGAGACUGGAAUUCCUGGUGUAGCGGUGAAAUGCGCAGAUAUCAGGAGGGAACACCGGUGGGCGAAGG